GGACGACCGCUGGCGGCGUGCUUAACCCAUGCAAGUCGAACGGAAGGGCCCUGCUUUUGUGGGGUGCUCGAGUGGCGAACGGGUGAGUAACACGUGAGUAACCUGCCCUUGACUUUGGGAUAACUUCAGGAAACUGGGGCUAAUACCGGAUAGGAGCUCCUGCUGCAUGGUGGGGGUUGGAAAGUUUCGGCGGUUGGGGAUGGACUCGCGGCUUAUCAGCUUGUUGGUGGGGUAGUGGCUUACCAAGGCUUUGACGGGUAGCCGGCCUGAGAGGGUGACCGGCCACAUUGGGACUGAGAUACGGCCCAGACUCCUACGGGAGGCAGCAGUGGGGAAUAUUGCACAAUGGGCGGAAGCCUGAUGCAGCAACGCCGCGUGCGGGAUGACGGCCUUCGGGUUGUAAACCGCUUUCGCCUGUGACGAAGCGUGAGUGACGGUAAUGGGUAAAGAAGCACCGGCUAACUACGUG
rnacentral:rRNA from 1 species